AUUGAACGCUGGCGGCAGGCCUAACACAUGCAAGUCGAACGGUAACGGGAAGAAGCUUGCUUCUUUGCUGACGAGUGGCGGACGGGUGAGUAAUGUCUGGGAAACUGCCUGAUGGGGGGGGAUAACUACUGGAAACGGUAGCUAAUACCGCAUAACGUCGCAAGACCAAAGAGGGGGACCUUCGGGCCUCUUGCCAUCGGAUGUGCCCAGAUGGGAUUAGCUAGUAGGUGGGGUAACGGCUCACCUAGGCGACGAUCCCUAGCUGGUCUGAGAGGAUGACCAGGCAAACUGGAAAUGAGACAAGGGCCAGACUCCUAAGGGAGGCAGGAGGGGGGAAUAUUGCACAAUGGGCGCAAGCCUGAUGCAGCCAUGCCGCGUGUAUGAAGAAGGCCUUCGGGUUGUAAAGUACUUUCAGCGGGGAGGAAGGGAGUAAAGUUAAUACCUUUGCUCAUUGACGUUACCCGCAGAAGAAGCACCGGCUAACUCCGU
rnacentral:rRNA from 1 species